CUUCAGGUGGCGGCCUUUCCUCCGCCCGGCGGUUCUUCUUCUCAUGGCGAAAGAGAAUUUCAAGAGUGAUCGGAGCUUCACCUGGCUCACGAGGGCCGGAGCCUCCUACUGCCGGCUUCCCGAACCCGACGGACCCCAUCCCAACUGACUACAUUCUCCGGCGUCCAGGACUCCCGGGGCACUGUUCUUGUGAGUUUUACUACUACGUCAAGGAGCUAUGAUAUGAUGGAGAAACUCCAGUAGCUUUGUCGUGCUGUUAAUUUGCAGGAAUUCUUGGUUCCAGUUGGAUAGUUGGAUUUUGGAAUGCUGAAUUCUAUGUGUAGCCUAUGGAAUAUAUACCCUGUAUGUUAUACGUGAUACUCCGUAUUAGAAUAUUUGAGCUGAGCUCCGGGGGACAUGGAUAACUUGAAAUGGGACUUCGUCUUGUAUCCUUAAGCCAAAAGAAGUAGUGUCACCAAUUUUAUAUAAGCCUGGUAUGAGCUGAGACCAAGAGAGUUGGAGAAUUUUAUGAACUUGAUUCUUCUCACUUUCUUUCUUGAUUUUAACACGUCCCUGUACCAAAGAAUGUGGGUGCAUAUUAUUCAUGUCAUUUACUCUUAAUGUCUUUCUUGCCAUAUGCUUUGUGUGGGUAGCUUGAUUCUUGCUUCGGUUAGUUUUUUUCUUCUCUUUCUAAUUACUCUGGUUGUAACUUGUAUCCUUGAUUUUCCAAACCGAAGUCUGUUAGUAUUCACUCAUUCUGUCAUGAAAACAUGAAGUCUACUUUGUGAACGUUUGUCUGAUAUCUAACUUGAUUAACAAACUUUGAUGAUAAUUUCUGGUGGGUUGCAUGGAAGUGCAAUGCUGCAUGCAAUCUAUAUAUAUCUUAUAGUACCAGGCAUUCACUUGUCUGUUGGCCUCUUUGACUUUGCUUAUUACUUUUAUUAUUACUUUUUAGUAACAAAAAUUAUAAAGUACUAUUUUUUUACACUGUUGUGUAUAUUUAACAUAAUUAAAAUGACCUUCAAAUCACACACGUGAAUUUUCUCUCAAA